CGAACUUUACCCAAGAGGACAGGCAGGACAGCUCGGAAGCCCCGUCCCGCCCGGGGCGACGAGCUCCGCCUCCGCCCCCGCCCCGAGCGGAGGACAAUGGUCGUCGGUAACUUGUUUUGGGCAGGGUAAAACUAGGCCGUUUCCCAGACGGUACCCGAACAGCAUCUUUGGGUUGGCAGAAGGGGACACCUGCGCAGGUACCUGAAGGAUCUUGCCCCAGGUCACGAAGCUACCGGGCGAAGACACUUGAUCUUUCAGUAAUUCCGCAAGUUAAUAUUGGGCAGCUCGCCAGGCCAGAGGACAAAAUCAGAAUAGAGGUCUUCUGGCUUCGAAUUCAACCACUGACGUGGGGAUUAAACAUUUCCCCUGCUGGACAGGAAGCACAUUUUUUAAAAAUAGAAGACAGAAAGAAAUAGAAAAAAAGGAUAAAAAGAAAGAAAAGACAGAGGCUUAGGAAUUUUCAGACCCAGAUUGAAAGUCCUGUUUCUUCUGCUUGCUGUGGACCUUAGGCAAGAUACUUGUCUGUGUCUGUCUGUGAAAUGAGGGUACCAGGAAAUAAUAAACUUGUAUUUAGCACAUAAUA